CUGCUGAAGAGUCCCACAAUAGGAUGAAACGGUCGUCAAGCAG
rnacentral:hammerhead_ribozyme from 1 species